UUACAAAUUAUGUACAGCAAAGUAUAAAUUGUUUAAGGUGUUUUAAUUUGUUUUAAACUUGUUUGCUUGUACCGGCCACCCCCAUUUCACAGUUGGUUUCGACCAUUGACGCAUUGUUUCCAAAAAUGGGCAGUUGCGUCAGAGCACACGCGCAUGGGUUUCCUUGGUAAAGGCACGAUUAACGCGUCAGGGAUUCCCUCCCCUCUUUCCCCACCUAUAACUUGCACUGGGUGGUCUGUGGACACAUGCUCUCGGCUCCUAAGAUCACGGAACACAGCAAGAGUGUGCAGAGGUGGUCGUGGGUUUAAUAGAAAGUAGCCACAAAGCAUAGCUUUGCGGUCCGGAUGUUGCUCUCUGAACUAUAGGCUGUGCGCUUUUUAAAUUACUUGAAUGUAUGUGCAGUUGCUCUUAAAUUUCGCGUCUUCACCAUGGAGUUUUGGGUUGUUUUUUUUCCCUCUCACUUUUUCGGCAGUUCGAAACAGAUUCUUUAAUUAAUUCAAUAUAUUUUUGUAUUUUUCUGUAGGCCUAUAACAAAUCUUUGUUGCAUCAUAUCUGUUUUUCAACCCAUUUAUCACACACUUCUCUCUCUCUCUCUCUCUCUCUCUCUCUCUCUCUCUCUCCAGGCGGAAUCAAACUCAUCAUUAUAGAUCAAAGAACAUAUCUAUCUAUAGAUGUCGCCAGUGGUACAAUAAAGUUUAUUGGGGGAGGGGAAGUAUCAACAGAACACUUGAGUUUUACAGUCCAAAGUGGGGGUCCAGCUUAUUUUGUAUAAAUCUUACAGACUCGUCUUCAACUGACUCAAGAGUUGUCAUGGAAUGAGGCAUUCUUUAUUGACUUAUAUUUCCACCACCUGCUGUCUAUAACCAAGUGGACCUAUUUCAGCAAGCAGGAAUGUGAUUGUGCACCUGUCCGUGCGACUCUACCUUGAAUUCAUCACUCCUUCUGACAGGUCAAUCAGCCAGACAGGCCAUCAGAGCGCAUCUCCCAGCCUGACAGCGGUCAACACUCAAUCCAGCAUGACAGUUGACCAGGUACUGCCGCCAGCCAGGCACUACCGCACAUGGAGAGGAGGAGGAACGUGAGGAAUGUGGAAGGGGAUGAGUCUUUGGGGAUGGAAAAGUAGUUAAGAGACCUGUAAGUAUGCACAAAAUGAGAUUCCAAAUCUCAAAAAGACUUGCUCAAAAAAGUCACACAAUAAUAUGAUUGUAUCUUUAAAGUGAGGUCACAUUAAUAAAAUGUCAGUUAAAAUUCUGUGGGUAAAAAAGGUCCAUUGUCUAUUGUCGAUAAUGUAGCGAUGUACAGGUCAAACAGAGGUCGUAUUGGAACCAAGCAGCUUUCUGUUUUGUGAAUUAACAUGACCAACUUGAAAACGAGCAAAAUCUGCAUAGGGAACUUUUUUGCCCCAAUUGCACAGAGUCCACAGAGCAAUGGUAAAUGUAUUUUAGGGGCUUUCGCACCAGGUAAUUUUAGGAACUCAGUUAUAGGAACUAGUCACCAGGGCGGUCCCCAGAAAACUAAAUGUUCCCCUAGGGCCAUUUUUGAGGUUGCAUUCGCACUGCCAGUAGGAACUCUGAAGUGAUGCAAGCAGGCUGACAGCAACGUCAUUUAAGCACGGCAUUCAACAGCGUCAACAACUGGAGGAUGGAGGACUCUGUGAUCAGAGAUGUGUUUUUAUUAUUGUGUCAAAGGAGAUGGAAUGCAGACGUGUAAGUCAUGCGAUUGAAAGAACAAAAAGGAGGGCUAAGAGACACAGGCCCAGUUUCACAGACAAGGCUUAGAUUAAGCCAGGAUUAGGCCUUAGUUCAAUUAGAACAUUUAAGUAGCUUUUAUAAAUGUGCCUUAAAAAAAAAAAAACAUUACUGGUGUUCAUCUUGAGACAAAACAAUGGCACUGACAUAUGUGACCCGUGCUGGGAAAAUGAGUUGCAAUGAGCAAAUUAAAAAGUUGUUAUACAAUCUCUAUUAAAAAACCUUCAAAAUGAAGUAUGAUUUGUUGGAAUCUGACAAAAAAUGACUGUGCUACACCUGUUUGAAGUCUAUAGAGUCAGCAAAGUCAAUUUUGCGAAAAAUCGAAUUAAAAUUUUCUGAAGGUUUCAAAAUGAAAUCACCUAGCAACCAUACCUUAAAAUCCCUCUUAAUAACACCUAAUUUGGCACACACCUCGUCAAAGCCAAAUAUCUAUAGGAAAAUAUAUAUAUUCAACUUUUUUCAAUAUUUUACUUCAGUAUUUUGAAGUACUGUAAUUCUGUUUAUAUGUGUAUAUUGGGGACGCGCUGUCUGAGGCGUGCGAGCGCUUCGGAUCUGUCAGCGCGAGUAAGAUUGUUUUGUUUACAUCAGCAUGAGUUUGAAAAUCAUGUCACUGGUUCAAACUCAUGCCAUCAAAAAUUCGCUAUGAAUAUUCACAAAACAUUAAAACGAUAUCAAACUUGUGCUGAGAGGAAGCGCGAGUGGUGAAGCGAGCAGAGAAAAACUGUAUUUUUCAUGGACAAGGGAAAGGUACUCCUCUCAGAAAACAUACAAAUAAAUAUACUUUUAGAUGUUUAAUUGCUAUUUGGAGCAUUUGGAUCACUAAAUGGGGGCUUAAUGAACUAAUUUUUGUAAAAUCCUCAAAUUCGAACAAAACUGACAUUUUUGACUUGUUUUGCCUGUAGCUCGUAAGUAGCCAGUGCGCAUUCUGACUCAUUUUGCCAGCACGGGUCACAUAUUUUAAGAUAUGUCAGUGCGAGUUGCUUUCAGUUGAAACAGCUCAAACAUGCAUUUUAGUCUGGGACUAGACUUAAGCCUUAUCUGCGAAACCGGUCAGCAAUCUCCAACGACAACUUGCAGUGCUACAUAUGAUCGAGGCUGAGAAAAUAACAGAACGAUACA